rnacentral:piRNA from 1 species
UGAAUGACCAAGUCAGUUGCUCUGUUGUU